CUUGGCAGGUGAGAGUGUGUUGUGAUGCACCUGAAGGUGAUUCAGAGCACAUUCUCAGAACGCCCAACUUUGCCGA
rnacentral:pre_miRNA from 1 species